GACGAACGCUGGCGGCGUGCUUAACACAUGCAAGUCGAACGGAAAGGCCCUGCUUUUGUGGGGUGCUCGAGUGGCGAACGGGUGAGUAACACGUGAGUAACCUGCCCUUGACUUUGGGAUAACCUCAGGAAACUGGGGCUAAUACCGGAUAGGAGCUCCUGCUGCAUGGUGGGGGUUGGAAAGUUUCGGCGGUUGGGGAUGGACUCGCGGCUUAUCAGCUUGUUGGUGGGGUAGUGGCUUACCAAGGCUUUGACGGGUAGCCGGCCUGAGAGGGUGACCGGCCACAUUGGGACUGAGAUACGGCCCAGACUCCUACGGGAGGCAGCAGUGGGGAAUAUUGCACAAUGGGCGGAAGCCUGAUGCAGCAACGCCGCGUGCGGGAUGACGGCCUUCGAGUUGUAAACCGCUUUCGCCUGUGACGAAGCGUGAGUGACGGUAAUGGGUAAAGAAGCACCGGCUAACUACGUGCCAGCAGCCGCGGUGAUACGUAGGGUGCGAGCGUUGUCCGGAUUUAUUGGGCGUAAAGGGCUCGUAGGUGGUUGAUCGCGUCGGAAGUGUAAUCUUGGGGCUUAACCCUGAGCGUGCUUUCGAUACGGGUUGACUUGAGGAAGGUAGGGGAGAAUGGAAUUCCUGGUGGAGCGGUGGAAUGCGCAGAUAUCAGGAGGAACACCAGUGGCGAAGGCGGUUCUCUGGGCCUUUCCUGACGCUGAGGAGCGAAAGCGUGGGGAGCGAACAGGCUUAGAUACCCUGGUAGUCCACGCUGUAAACGGUGGGUACUAGGUGUGGGGUCCAUUCCACGGGUUCCGUGCCGUAGCUAACGCUUUAAGUACCCCGCCUGGGGAGUACGGCCGCAAGGCUAAAACUCAAAGGAAUUGACGGGGCCCCGCACAAGCGGCGGAGCAUGCGGAUUAAUUCGAUGCAACGCGUAGAACCUUACCUGGGUUUGACAUGGAUCGGGAGUGCUCAGAGAUGGGUGUGCCUCUUUUGGGGUCGGUUCACAGGUGGUGCAUGGCUGUCGUCAGCUCGUGUCGUGAGAUGUUGGGUUAAGUCCCGCAACGAGCGCAGCCCUUGUUCACUGUUGCCAGCACGUUAUGGUGGGGACUCAGUGGAGACCGCCGGGGUCAACUCGGAGGAAGGUGGGGAUGACGUCAAGUCAUCAUGCCCCUUAUGUCCAGGGCUUCACGCAUGCUACAAUGGCUGGUACAGAGAGUGGCGAGCCUGUGAGGGUGAGCGAAUCUCGGAAAGCCGGUCUCAGUUCGGAUUGGGGUCUGCAACUCGACCUCAUGAAGUCGGAGUCGCUAGUAAUCGCAGAUCAGCAACGCUGCGGUGAAUACGUUCCCGGGGCU
rnacentral:rRNA from 1 species